rnacentral:rRNA from 1 species
AACGUAGGUUCCGAGCGUUAUCCGGAUUUACUGGGCGUAAAGCGCGUUCAGGCGGUUUGGCAAGUCGGGCAUGAAAUCUCUCGGCUCAACCGGGAGAGGUUGUCCGAUACUGCUGGACUUGAGGGCAGUAGAGGGUGGUGGAAUUCCGGGUGUAGUGGUGAAAUGCGUAGAUAUCCGGAGGAACACCAGUGGCGAAGGCGGAUCUCUGGGCCUUACCUGACGCUCAGGUGCGAAAGCUAGGGGAGCGAACAGG